UACGUAGGGGGCGAGCGUUAUCCGGAAUUACUGGGCGUAAAGCGCACGCAGGCGGUUCGCCAAGUUUGGAGUGACAGUUGUCCGGCUCAACCGACAAAGGACUUCAAAAACUGGUGAACUUGAGGACGAGAGAGGGAACAUGGAACUCCGAGGUGUAGUAGUGAAAUGCGUAGAUAUCUGGAAGAACACCAAUGGCGAAGGCGAAUGUUCUGGCUCGUUUCUGACGCUCAGGUGCGAAAGCC
rnacentral:rRNA from 1 species